GAAUUCACUAGUGAUGGAUCNCAGGCCUAACACAUGCAAGUCGAACGAGAUCUUCGGAUCUAGUGGCGCACGGGUGCGUAACGCGUGGGAAUCUGCCCUUGGGUUCGGAAUAACAGUUAGAAAUGACUGCUAAUACCGGAUGAAGUCUACGGACCAAAGAUUUAUCGCCCAGGGAUGAGCCCGCGUAGGAUUAGCUAGUUGGUGGGGUAAAGGCCUACCAAGGCGACGAUCCUUAGCUGGUCUGAGAGGAUGAUCAGCCACACUGGGACUGAGACACGGCCCAGACUCCUACGGGAGGCAGCAGUGGGGAAUAUUGGACAAUGGGGGCAACCCUGAUCCAGCAAUGCCGCGUGAGUGAUGAAGGCCUUCGGGUCGUAAAGCUCUUUUACCCGGGAUGAUAAUGACAGUACCGGGAGAAUAAGCCCCGGCUAACUCCGUG
rnacentral:rRNA from 1 species